GAUGAACGCUGGCGGCGUGCCUAAUACAUGCAAGUCGAGCGAACAGAUAAGGAGCUUGCUCCUUUGAAGUUAGCGGCGGACGGGUGAGUAACACGUGGGUAACCUACCUAUAAGACUGGGAUAACUUCGGGAAACCGGAGCUAAUACCGGAUAACAUUUAGAACCGCAUGGUUCUAAGUGAAAGAUGGUUUUGCUAUCACUUAUAGAUGGACCCGCGCCGUAUUAGCUAGUUGGUAAGGUAACGGCUUACCAAGGCGACGAUACGUAGCCGACCUGAGAGGGUGCGCGGCCAUAGUGGGACUGAGACACGGUCCAGACUCCUACGGGAGGCAGCAGUAGGGAAUCUUCCGCAAUGGGCGAAAGCCUGACGGAGCAACGCCGCGUGAGUGAUGAAGGGCUUCGGCUCGUAAAACUCUGUUAUUAGGGAAGAACGAAUGUGUAAGUAACUGUGCACAUCUUGACGGUACCUAAUCGGAAAGCCACGGCUAACUACGUGCCAGCAGCCGCCGCAG
rnacentral:rRNA from 1 species